AAUGCUGUAAAAUAAAGGCAAGA
rnacentral:miRNA from 1 species